GGUGGGUUGGCCGAGUGGUCUAAGGCGGCGGAUUUAAGUCCCGCUCUCAUUCUUGGGACGAGGGUUCAAAUCCCUCACCCAUCA